UACGUAGGGUGCAAGCGUUAAUCGGAAUUACUGGGCGUAAAGCGUGCGCAGGCGGUUCUUUAAGACAGAUGUGAAAUCCCCGGGCUCAACCUGGGAACUGCAUUUGUGACUGUAGAGCUGGAGUGCGGCAGAGGGGGAUGGAAUUCCGCGUGUAGCAGUGAAAUGCGUAGAUAUGCGGAGGAACACCGAUGGCGAAGGCAAUCCCCUGGGCCUGCACUGACGCUCAUGCACGAAAGCGUGGGGAGCAAACAGG
rnacentral:rRNA from 1 species